rnacentral:rRNA from 1 species
UACGUAGGGGGCAAGCGUUGUCCGGAUUUAUUGGGCGUAAAGAGCGUGUAGGCGGCCAUGUAGGUCCGUUGUGAAACUCGAGGCUCAACCUCGAGACGCCGAUGGAAACCAUGUGGCUAGAGUCCGGAAGAGGAGAGUGGAAUUCCUGGUGUAGCGGUGAAAUGCGCAGAGUAUCAGGAAGAACACCCGUGGCUAAGGCGGCUCUCUAGUACGGUACUGACGCUGAGACGCGAAAGCUGGGAGCGAACAGG